GCUUGUCUCAAAGAUUAAGCCAUGCAUGUCUAAGUAUAAGCAUUAUACAGUGAAACUGCGAAUGGCUCAUUAUAUCAGUUAUAGUUUAUUUGAUAGUCACACUACUUGGAUAACCGUAGUAAUUCUAGAGCUAAUACAUGCAUCAAACCCCGACUUCUGGAAGGGGUGUAUUUAUUAGAUGGAAACCAAUGCGGGGCAACCCGGUAUAUGGUGAUUCAUAAUAACUUUCGGAUCGACCUUUCGGUCGAUGCAUCAUUCAAGUUUCUGCCCUAUCAGUUGUGGAUGGUAGGGUAUUGGCCUACCAUGACUUUAACGGGUAACGGAGAAUUAGGGUUCGAUUCCGGAGAGGGAGCCUGAGAAAUGGCUACCACAUCCAAGGAAGGCAGCAGG
rnacentral:rRNA from 1 species